GUCGUAACAAGGUUUCCGUAGGUGAACCUGCGGAAGGAUCAUUCGCACGCAUCCAAUCAAUACCACUGUGAAUUUUUGGCGUGAGGUUCUGCUUGGGGAUGGAGAUUGCAUCAAUACCCCCUUGCAGAAGCUCAAAGGCGGCAGGGCUGGAUGGGUGCUUGUCACCUCCUUUCAGUUCCUGUCGUCACCACCCUUUUGCCUUUAUGUUUGCUUUGCAUUCUUAUCUUUCGAAGUGGUUGCCCACUUUCUUGUUUACAACUUUCAGCGAUCGAUGUCUCGGCUCGAACAACGAUGAAGGGCGCAGCGAAGUGUGAUAAGCAUUGUGAAUUGCAGGAUUCCGUGAACCAAUAGGGACUUGAACGUACACUGCGCUUUCGGGAUAUCCCUGAAAGCAUGCCUGCUUCAGUGUCCAUUUCCUUUAUUCCAGCAACACCUUCCACUUUUGUGGUAGCGUUGCUUGGGUGUGCUUGUGCGUCAAAGUGCCUUGCUGCCUCUGACGUGUUCAACACAUGGGUUUUUCUUCUUGGCACACUACUUGCUAAACAUCUCUGAUGUAACUUGUUGCUGUGCUUUGGAGCAAUCCCUUUGAUGUAUUGUAUUUCAUACAUGCGAAGACAUGAAGUUAGGUCAGCAAACCCGCUGAAUUUAAGCAUAUAAGUAAGCGGAGGAAAAGAAACUAAAUAGGAUUCCCUCAGUAAUGGCGAAUGAACAGGGAUGAGCUCAGUAUGGAAAUUGGGGCCUGUGGCCUUGAAUUGUAGUCUGGAGAUGUACCACCAACUGGGGCGCAGAUGUAAGCCUCUUGGAAAAGAGCAUCAAUGAGGGUGAGAGUCCCGCUUGGCAUCUGCAGUCCCCAGUGCACGGUGUACCUUCUAAGAGUCACGUUCCUCGGGAUUGGAGCGCAAAUCGGGUGGUAAGUUUCAUCUAAAGCUAAAUAUAGUUUCGAGACCGAUAGCAAACAAAUACCAUGAGGGAAAGGUGAAAAGGACUUUGAAAAGAGAGUUAAAAGUGCCUGAAAUUGCUGAAAGGGAAGCGAAUGGAACCAGCGUAACUUGGCGAGAUUGCUGCGUGUCAAUGUGAUUGCUUGCUGCUUCAACGUAAGUGUCGUAGUAAGUUUUGAGCAGGACAUGCGUGGUGCUUCUUGCCUUGUGUGUCACCGUCAGUUCGCAACUGGGGAAAACUUCAGGGACAUGGUAGCCUGUCUCCGGGUGGGUGAACGUGUUUGCUGGAACUCAUUUGUGGAUUGCUUGGUGACUAAAUGGUUCCAUCUGACCCGUCUUGAAACACGGACCAAGGAGUCUAACAUAUGUGCAAGUUCACGGGUGUUAAACCUGCUUGCGUAAUGAAAGUGACUGCUGGGAUCUUUGCACCAGCAACCGACCAAUCAAUUGAGAGAGGUUUGAGUAUGAGCAUAUCUGUUAGGACCCGAAAGAUGGUGAACUAUGCGUGA
rnacentral:rRNA from 1 species